CUACCUACGGGGCGCAGCAGUGGGGAAUAUUGGGCAAUGGAGGAAACUCUGACCCAGUAAUGCCGCGUGAAUGAAGAAGGUCUUCGGAUUGUAAAGUUCUUUAGUCAGGGAAGAAGUCAAUGACGGUACCUGAGUAAGAAGCCCCGGCUAACUACGUGCCAGCAGCCGCGGUAAUACGUAGGGGGCAAGCGUUAUCCGGAAUUACUGGGUGUAAAGGGAGCGUAGACGGUAAUGCGAGUCUGGAGUGAAAGGCGGGGGCCCACCCCCCGGACUGCUCUGGAAACUGUGUAACUGGAGUGCAGGAG
rnacentral:rRNA from 1 species